ACAUUCAAUCUCAAUCUCACCAUGAAGAUUUUCGGAUAUAUCCUUAUACUCAUUGUAACAAUGAUAGAAGUCAAUGGUGUCCUAACUGUUGAAGAAUGCCAAAAGUUCUUGAACCCCCCAAUUCAGCUACGGUGAAAGCAGAUCCAUGGUGCGGAAUAACAGCGGAUUGCCACUAUACCUUCCUUACUGCCAGCUUCCUGAAGACCGAAGUCUGCUUUCGUAAAGUAAAUGGUUUGCCAGAACUCAAAAAAGUAAUUCAUGCCAAAUGCCCUAAGGGCAAAUAUUCAUAAAUAUAGAUCGGAGCUUGGAAAAAAUAUCCCAAACUAAAUUAGAAUUAAAUAACUUUUUGACGAAGGCAAAUGCUUGCAGCAAUUAUUUGUUUGAACUAUUAAAUUAAAAGUAUACACGUAUAUCCACUACGAG
ensembl:ncRNA lncRNA:CR43932 long non-coding RNA:CR43932